UGGGGAAUAUUGCACAAUGGGCGCAAGCCUGAUGCAGCCAUGCCGCGUGUAUGAAGAAGGCCUUCGGGUUGUAAAGUACUUUCAGUCGGGAGGAAGGUGGUAAGGUUAAUAACCUUAUCAAUUGACGUUACCGACAGAAGAAGCACCGGCUAACUCCGUGCCAGCAGCCGCGGUAAUACGGAGGGUGCAAGCGUUAAUCAGAAUUACUGGGCGUAAAGCGCACGCAGGCGGUUGAUUGAGUCAGAUGUGAAAUCCCCGGGCUUAACCCGGGAAUUGCAUCUGAUACUGGUCAGCUAGAGUCUUGUAGAGGGGGGUAGAAUUCCAUGUGUAGCGGUGAAAUGCGUAGAGAUGUGGAGGAAUACCGGUGGCGAAGGCGGCCCCCUGGACGAAGACUGACGCUCAGGUGCGAAAGCGUGGGGAGCAAACAGG
rnacentral:rRNA from 1 species